ACUUUCAACAACGGAUCUCUUGGUUCUGGCAUCGAUGAAGAACGCAGCAAAAUGCGAUAAGUAAUGUGAAUUGCAGAAUUCAGUGAAUCAUCGAAUCUUUGAACGCACAUUGCGCCCGCCAGUAUUCUGGCGGGCAUGCCUGUUCGAGCGUCAUUUCAAC
rnacentral:rRNA from 1 species